UGCUGAAGGGGUUAAGAAGGUUAUGAAACUAGGAUUUGACCCUUCAAAAUUAAGAUUUGUUGAGGCAGUCCGUGUUUUCUUUAGGAUGGCGCAUAAAACAUGGGAACAUAAAAUGGAGGUUUUUAGGAGGUGGGGAUUGUCUGAAGAUGAGAUUUGGUUGAUGUUCAGAAAGCAUCCCACAUGUAUGUUAACUUCUGAGAAGAAGGUCAUGCGUACAAUGGAUUUUCUUGUGUGCAAGAUGGGUU
rnacentral:misc_RNA from 1 species